AAAAAUCUAUAUGAAAAAAUUGUAUAUAUAAAUAAACUUUUUAUGAUUUAUAUAAUUUAAUUUAAAUUUAUUUUACAUGUAAAUUUUAGUAUUAAUUUUUAAUUAUUUUAAUAAUAAUUAUUAAAAAUUACAGUAAUUAAAAUUAAAAAUUUAAGAAAUUAAGAUUUAGUAAUAUUUAAUUUAUUAACAAAUUUUGUGCCAGCAGUUGCGGUUAUACAAAAAAUAAUUUAAAUUUUAUCAGUAUAUAAUAAAUAAAAAUUAAUUAUUUAAAUUAAAUAUUAAAUUAUUAGGUGAAAUUUUAAUUUAAUUAAAAUUUAUGUUAAUUUUAUGAUUUAUUAAAUUUUAAAAAAAAACUAGGAUUAGAUACCCUAUUAUUAAAAAUUAAAUUUAUAAUACUAAAAUAAUAGGUAAUAAUUUAUUGAAACUUAAAUAAUUUGGCGGUAUUUUAGUUCAUUUAGAGGAAUCUGUUUAAUAAUUGAUAAUCCACGAAUAAAUUUACUUAAUUUAUUAUUUUGUAUAUCGUUGUUAAAAAAAUAUUUUUUAAUAAAAAUAAUAUUUUAAAAUUUUAAUAAAAAAUUAAUUCAGAUCAAGAUGCAGAUUAUAAUUAAGAAUAUAAUGGAUUACAAUAAAUAAAUUUAAAUGAAUAAUAUUUUUUAAAAAAUAUUUGAAGGUGGAUUUAAAUGUAAUUUUAAUUAAUUUAUUAAAAUGAUUAUAUAUUAAAAUAUGUACAUAUUGUCCGUCACUUUCAUUAAUAAAUUGGAAUAAGUCGUAACAAAGUAGAGGUACUGGAAAGUGUUUCUAGAAAGAA
rnacentral:ncRNA from 1 species